rnacentral:rRNA from 1 species
GACGAACGCUGGCGGCGUGCCUAAUACAUGCAAGUCGAACGCAGUGGGGACGGGUGAGUAACACGUGGGUAACCUCCCCAUCAGAGGGGAUAACCCUUGGACACAGGUGCUAAACCGAUACUGAUGGAUGGACCCGCGGUUCAUUAGCUAGUUGGGGAGGUACCGGCUCACCAAGGCCACGAUGCAUAGCCGACCUGAGAGGGCGAUCGGCCAUACUGGGACUGCGAGACGGCCCAGACUCCUACGGGAGGAAGCAGGAGGGAAGCUUCGGCAAUGGACGAAAGGCUGACCGAGCAGUGCCGCGUGAGUGAAGAAGGUUUUCGGAUCGUAAAACUCUGUUGUUAGAGAAGCGGUAUCUAACCAGAAAGCCACGGCUAACUACGUGCCAGCAGCCGCGGUAAUAC